UGAUUUUUUUUUUUUUUUUUUUUUUCCAACAUUUAAUGAUUUAUGAACAAAGUGUAGUUUCACUGGCAUUCUGGAAGUAAGUCAUAGAAAG
rnacentral:ribozyme from 1 species